UAAGAGCGAAUGGUGGAUGCCUUGACUGGUAAAGGCGAUGAAGGACGUACUAGACUGCGAUAAGCUACGGGGAGCUGUCAAGAAGCUUUGAUCCGUAGAUUUCCGAAUGGGGCAACCCAAUGUAUAGAGAUAUACAUUACCUAUAUAGGAGCGAACGAGGGGAAUUGAAACAUCUUAGUACCCUCAGGAAAAGAAAUCAAUAGAGAUUGCGUCAGUAGCGGCGAGCGAAAGCGCAAGAGGGCAAACCCAGUGCUUGCACUGGGGGUUGUAGGACUGCAAUGUGCAAGAGGUAAGUUUAGCAGAACAUUCUGGAAAGUAUAACCAUAGAGGGUGAUAGUCCCGUAUGCGAAAAACAAACCUUAGCUAGCAGUAUCCUGAGUAGGGCGGGACACGAGGAAUCCUGUCUGAAUCCGGGUCGACCACGAUCCAACCCUAAAUACUAAUACCAGAUCGAUAGUGCACAAGUACCGUGAGGGAAAGGUGAAAAGAACUGAGGUGAUCAGAGUGAAAUAGAACCUGAAACCAUUUGCUUACAAUCAUUCAGAGCCCUAUGUAGCAAUACAGGGUGAUGGACUGCCUUUUGCAUAAUGAGCCUGCGAGUUGUGGUGUCUGGCAAGGUUAAGCAAACGCGAAGCCGUAGCGAAAGCGAGUCUGAAUAGGGCGCUUAGUCAGAUGCUGCAGACCCGAAACGAAGUGAUCUAUCCAUGAGCAAGUUGAAGCUAGUGUAAGAACUAGUGGAGGACUGAACCCAUAGGCGUUGAAAAGCCCCGGGAUGACUUGUGGAUAGGGGUGAAAGGCCAAUCAAACUUCGUGAUAGCUGGUUCUCUCCGAAAUAUAUUUAGGUAUAGCGUUGUGUCGUAAUAUAAGGGGGUAGAGCACUGAAUGGGCUAGGGCAUACACCAAUGUACCAAACCCUAUCAAACUCCGAAUACCUUAUAUGUAAUCACAGCAGUCAGGCGGCGAGUGAUAAAAUCCGUCGUCAAGAGGGAAACAACCCAGACUACCAGCUAAGGUCCCUAAAUCUUACUUAAGUGGAAAACGAUGUGAAGUUACUUAAACAACCAGGAGGUUGGCUUAGAAGCAGCCAUCCUUUAAAGAAAGCGUAAUAGCUCACUGGUCUAGUGAUUUUGCGCGGAAAAUAUAACGGGGCUAAAGUAAGUACCGAAGCUGUAGACUUGCACACAACUUAGAUUAUUUAAGUUUAGAAUAUGAGAAACUAAGUUAUAUGUUUAGUUAUAUUUUUACUGAUUUUUAUAGAGUAAAGAUAGAAAUAAAACUUAGUAAAAUCAGUAAAAAUAUUCUUAGACUAAAGUUAAGUAGUUUAAGUUGUGUGCAAGUGGUAGGAGAGCGUUCUAUUUGCGUCGAAGGUAUACCGGUAAGGAGUGCUGGAGCGAAUAGAAGUGAGCAUGCAGGCAUGAGUAGCGAUAAUUAAUGUGAGAAUCAUUAACGCCGUAAACCCAAGGUUUCCUACGCGAUGCUCGUCAUCGUAGGGUUAGUCGGGUCCUAAGUCGAGUCCGAAAGGGGUAGACGAUGGCAAAUUGGUUAAUAUUCCAAUACCAACAUUAGUGUGCGAUGGAAGGACGCUUAGGGCUAAGGGGGCUAGCGGAUGGAAGUGCUAGUCUAAGGUCGUAGGAGGUUAUACAGGCAAAUCCGUAUAACAAUACUCCGAGAACUGAAAGGCUUUUUGAAGUCUUCGGAUGGAUAGAAGAACCCCUGAUGCCGUCGAGCCAAGAAAAGUUUCUAAGUUUAGCUAAUGUUGCCCGUACCGUAAACCGACACAGGUGGGUGGGAUGAGUAUUCUAAGGCGCGUGGAAGAACUCUCUUUAAGGAACUCUGCAAAAUAGCACCGUAUCUUCGGUAUAAGGUGUGGUUAGCUUUGUAUUAGGAUUUACUCCGAAAGCAAGGAAACUUACAACAAAGAGUCCCUCCCGACUGUUUACCAAAAACACAGCACUCUGCUAACUCGUAAGAGGAUGUAUAGGGUGUGACGCCUGCCCGGUGCUCGAAGGUUAAUUGAUGGGGUUAGCAUUAGCGAAGCUCUUGAUCGAAGCCCGAGUAAACGGCGGCCGUAACUAUAACGGUCCUAAGGUAGCGAAAUUCCUUGUCGGUUAAAUACCGACCUGCAUGAAUGGCGUAACGAGAUGGGAGCUGUCUCAAAGAGGGAUCCAGUGAAAUUGUAGUGGAGGUGAAAAUUCCUCCUACCCGCGGCAAGACGGAAAGACCCCGUGGACCUUUACUACAGCUUGACACUGCUACUUGGAUAAGAAUGUGCAGGAUAGGUGGGAGGCUUUGAGUAUAUGACGCCAGUUGUAUAUGAGCCAUUGUUGAGAUACCACUCUUUCUUAUUUGGGUAGCUAACCAGCUUGAGUUAUCCUCAAGUGGGACAAUGUCUGGUGGGUAGUUUGACUGGGGCGGUCGCCUCCCAAAUAAUAACGGAGGCUUACAAAGGUUGGCUCAGAACGGUUGGAAAUCGUUCGUAGAGUAUAAAGGUAUAAGCCAGCUUAACUGCAAGACAUACAAGUCAAGCAGAGACGAAAGUCGGUCUUAGUGAUCCGGUGGUUCUGUGUGGAAGGGCCAUCGCUCAAAGGAUAAAAGGUACCCCGGGGAUAACAGGCUGAUCUCCCCCAAGAGCUCACAUCGACGGGGAGGUUUGGCACCUCGAUGUCGGCUCAUCGCAUCCUGGGGCUGGAGCAGGUCCCAAGGGUAUGGCUGUUCGCCAUUUAAAGCGGUACGCGAGCUGGGUUCAGAACGUCGUGAGACAGUUCGGUCCCUAUCUGCCGUGGGCGUAAGAAGAUUGAAGAGAUUUGACCCUAGUACGAGAGGACCGGGUUGAACAAACCACUGGUGUAGCUGUUGUUCUGCCAAGAGCAUCGCAGCGUAGCUAAGUUUGGAAAGGAUAAACGCUGAAAGCAUCUAAGCGUGAAGCCAACUCUAAGAUGAAUCUUCUCUAAGCUCUCUAGAAGACUACUAGUUUGAUAGGCUGGGUGUGUAAUGGAUGAAAGUCCUUUAGCUGACCAGUACUAAUAGAGCGUUUGGCUUAUCUUUAAUAAAGCAU
rnacentral:rRNA from 1 species